rnacentral:rRNA from 1 species
UACAGAGGGGGCAAGCGUUGUUCGGAAUUACUGGGCGUAAAGGGCGCGUAGGCGGCCCGCUAAGUCGAACGUGAAAUCCCCGAGCUCAACUCGGGAACUGCGUCUGAUACUGGCGGGCUUGAAUCCGGGAGAGGGAUGCGGAAUUCCAGGUGUAGCGGUGAAAUGCGUAGAUAUCUGGAGGAACACCGGUGGCGAAGGCGGCAUCCUGGACCGGCAUUGACGCUGAGGCGCGAAAGCUAGGGGAGCAAACGGG